rnacentral:rRNA from 1 species
GAUCCUGGCUCAGAUUGAACGCUGGCGGCAGGCCUAACACAUGCAAGUCGAGCGGAAACGAGUUAUCUGAACCUUCGGGGAACGAUAACGGCGUCGAGCGGCGGACGGGUGAGUAAUGCCUAGGAAAUUGCCCUGAUGUGGGGGAUAACCAUUGGAAACGAUGGCUAAUACCGCAUAAUGCCUACGGGCCAAAGAGGGGGACCUUCGGGCCUCUCGCGUCAGGAUAUGCCUAGGUGGGAUUAGCUAGUUGGUGAGGUAAGGGCUCACCAAGGCGACGAUCCCUAGCUGGUCUGAGAGGAUGAUCAGCCACACUGGAACUGAGACACGGUCCAGACUCCUACGGGAGGCAGCAGUGGGGAAUAUUGCACAAUGGGCGCAAGCCUGAUGCAGCCAUGCCGCGUGUGUGAAGAAGGCCUUCGGGUUGUAAAGCACUUUCAGUCGUGAGGAAGGUAGUGUAGUUAAUAGCUGCAUUAUUUGACGUUAGCGACAGAAGAAGCACCGGCUAACUCCGUGC